rnacentral:rRNA from 1 species
AUGCGGUGGCUCGACGUGUCCGGCGUGAGGAGCAGGAUCCUGGCCACGGUGAGCAGGAGGGACGCCUUCCUCCACCGGCUCAUCGACGCCGAGCGGCGGAGGAUGGACGAGGGCGGCGCCGGCGACGAGGGCGAGAAGAAGAGCAUGAUCGCCGUGCUCCUCACUCUGCAGAAGACGGAGCCGGAGCUGUACACUGAUCAGAUGAUCAUCGCUCUGUGUGCACGCCGACGACGUGCCCCGCCUCAGCUACCUCCAGUGCAUCAUCAACGAGACGCUACGCCUGUACCCGGCGGCACCGCUGCUGCUGCCGCACGAGUCCUCCGCCGACUGCAAGGUCGGCGGCUACGACGUGCGGAGCGGCACCAUGCUGAUCGUGAACGCGUACACCCGGCUGUGUGGGAGGACCCGACGGCGUUCCGCCCGGAGCGGUUCGAGGACGGCAAGGGCGACGGGCUGCUGAUGAUGCCGUUCGGGAUGGGGCGGCGGAGGUGCCCCGGCGAGGCGCUGGCGCUGCAGACGGUCGGGGUGGUUCUCGGGACGCUGGUGCAGUGUUUCGACUGGGACCGGGUGGACGGCGUGGAGGUGGACAUGACGGAGGGGGUGGGGAUCACCAUGCCCAAGGCCGUGGCUUUGGAGGCCGUGUGUAGGCCGCGCGCGGCCAUGCGCGAUGUUCUUCAGAAGCUCUGA